rnacentral:rRNA from 1 species
CAACGAAGUAAAGAAGGGCGUACGGUGGAUGCCUAGGCUCUUACAGGCGAUGAAGGACGUGAUAAGCUGCGAUAAGCUUCGGGUAGGUGCAAAUGACCAUUGAUCCGAAGAUUUCCGAAUGAGACAACUCGGCAGGUUGAAGGCCUGUCAUCCCGCGAAUGCGGGAGGCUAACGCGGGGAACUGAAACAUCUUAGUACCCGUAGGAAAAGAAAAUAAUAAUGAUUCCCUCAGUAGUGGCGAGCGAACGGGGAAGAGCCCAAACCAAUGAUGUUUUGGCAUGAUUGGGGUUGUAGGACUGCGUCAUUGCAAGAAAUCAGAAUAGAGGAACGUUUUGGAAAGAACGACCAUAGAGAGUGACAGUCUCGUACUCGAAAUUUUGAUGAAGCAUAGCAGAAUCCUGAGUAGGGCGGGACACGUGAAAUCCUGUCUGAAUCCGGCGGGCCCAUCCGCCAAGGCUAAAUACUCGUAAGAGACCGAUAGCGUACCAGUACCGUGAGGGAAAGGUGAAAAGCACCUCUGUCAGAGGAGUGAAAGAGUUCCUGAAACCGUACGCCUACAAGCGGUCGGAGCACCUUAUGGUGUGACGGCGUGCCUUUUGCAUAAUGAACCUACGAGUUACCGUCAUUGGCAAGGUUAAGAGUAACGAUGCUCCGAGCCGAAGCGAAAGCGAGUCUGAA